rnacentral:rRNA from 1 species
GCUACAUGCAGUCGACGAUGAAGCUCCUGCUUGCAGGGGUGGAUUAGUGGCGAACGGGUGAGUAACACGUGAGUAACCUGCCCUUGACUCUGGGAUAAGCCUGGGAAACUGGGUCUAAUACUGGAUAUUCAGCAAUUACUGCAUGGUGGUUGUUGGAAAGGGUUUCUGGUCAAGGAGGGACUCGCGGCCUAUCAGCUUGUUGGUGAGGUAAUGGCUCACCAAGGCGACGACGGGUAGCCGGCCUGAGAGGGUGACCGGCCACACUGGGACUGAGACACGGCCCAGACUCCUACGGGAGGCAGCAGUGGGGAAUAUUGCACAAUGGGCGAAAGCCUGAUGCAGCGACGCCGCGUGAGGGAUGACGGCCUUCGGGUUGUAAACCUCUUUCAGUAGGGAAGAAGCGAAAGUGACGGUACCUGCAGAAGAAGCGCCGGCUAACUACGUGCCAGCAGCCGCGGUAAUACGUAGGGCGCAAGCGUUAUCCGGAAUUAUUGGGCGUAAAGAGCUCGUAGGCGGUUUGUCGCGUCUGCCGUGAAAGUCCGGGGCUUAACUCCGGAUCUGCGGUGGGUACGGGCAGGCUAGAGUGCUGUAGGGGAGACUGGAAUUCCUGGUGUAGCGGUGAAAUGCGCAGAUAUCAGGAGGAACACCGAUGGCGAAGGCAGGUCUCUGGGCAGUAACUGACGCUGAGGAGCGAAAGCAUGGGGAGCGAACAGGAUUAGAUACCCUGGUAGUCCAUGCCGUAACGUUGGGCACUAGAUGUGGGGAACAU